rnacentral:lncRNA from 1 species
UUGUCAGGAAGAGGGCCUGGCGGCUGGGUGCUACGGUAGGAAGAUCCCGGUGCUGUGGGAGUGGAACAGAUGGUUGAAUGCCAGGCUGGCUUGGUCCUUCUCUCUGGGUGCCGGCUGUGGCUCCCGCCCAGGCCCACUGCUCAGUGGAGCGUGGAGGACGAGGAGGAGGCUGUCCACGAGCAAUGCCAGCAUGAGAGAGACAGGCAGCUUCAGGCGCAGGACGAGGAGGGAGGCGGCCAUGUCCCCGAGCGGCCGAAGCAGGAGAUGCUCACCAGAAAUGUCAGCAGCCCAGAACACCCAGCCCCUUGGUCUUGGAGGGGACCAUCGAACAGAGCUCGCCUCCCCUGAGCCCUACCACCAAACUCAUCGACAGGACCGAGUCCCUAAACCGCUCCAUAGAGAAGA